CAUACUUUGUACGGACGUUAGCAAUAACUAGUUUAGUGCUUUUAUGGAUUUGUGUAAGAUUUGACAUGAACACCUGCAAGAAGGAAAUAUGGCUCAAACACGUAUAUGGAUUGUUGUGGAUACAGCAGAUGACGUGGUUUGCUAUGGAUUAUGUCUUCCAUGGAUUAUAUCGGAUUGCAUGGAAAGUGUCCUCCUCUCUUGUUCCUGUGGGCAGGAAAUCCAUGAUGUACAAUCCUGUCAUUGUGGAAGAAAGCAUAAGUGUAAGUGAAUGUCAUGUGUGCAUGUCUUAGUGUCUGUAUUUGUUCAACAUGUGCACAUUUCUCCAUUUGCAUGUGCAUGUGACUGUUCAACCAGGCCAAUGUAUCUGUGGAACAAACCAUAAAAACCCUUUAAAUAUUUUGCCUCAUAUCGUCUGUACUCCAUCAGUGGAGGAAAAUUAUGCCAAUGAACCAAAACAUAGCGAUUG